rnacentral:rRNA from 1 species
CGGGACGGGGUGGAGUAAUGUCUGGGAAACUGCCCGAUGGAGGGGGGUAACUACUGGAAACGGUAGCUAAUACCGCAUAACGUCGCAAGACCAAAGAGGGGGACCUUAGGGCCUCUUGCCAUCGGAUGUGCCCAGAUGGGAUUAGCUAGUAGGUGGGGUAAUGGCUCACCUAGGCGACGAUCCCUAGCUGGUCUGAGAGGAUGACCAGCCACACUGGAACUGAGACACGGUCCAG